rnacentral:rRNA from 1 species
GACGAACGCUGGCGGCGUGCUUAACACAUGCAAGUCGAACGGAAAGGCCCUGCUUGCAGGGUACUCGAGUGGCGAACGGGUGAGUAACACGUGGGUGAUCUGCCCUGCACUUCGGGAUAAGCCUGGGAAACUGGGUCUAAUACCGGAUAGGAGCCAUUUUUAGUGUGAUGGUUGGAAAGUUUUUUCGGUGUAGGAUGAGCUCGCGGCCUAUCAGCUUGUUGGUGGGGUAAUGGCCUACCAAGGCGGCGACGGGUAGCCGGCCUGAGAGGGUGGACGGCCACAGUGGGACUGAGAUACGGCCCAGACUCCUACGGGAGGCAGCAGUGGGGAAUAUUGCACAAUGGGCGCAAGCCUGAUGCAGCGACGCCGCGUGGGGGAGGACGGCCUUCGGGUUGGAAACUCCUUUCGCUAGGGACGAAGCUUUUUGUGACGGUACCUAGAGAAGAAGCACCGGCUAACUACGUG